UGGGUUGUGGCUCAGUGGUAGAGUGCUUGCCUCACAUGCAUGAGGCACUGGGUUUGAUCACCAGCACCACAU
rfam:Ictidomys tridecemlineatus contig108581, whole genome shotgun sequence.